ensembl:lncRNA
CACGCGCGCACGGUCUGUUUGGAUACAUUCCUGGAGUCUCUUAAAGAGACCGCGCUGCGCGUUUCGCUCGCGGCUUCAACAAUGAUGUGCUGGCCCAUCAAGGGCACCGAUUGUCUUCCUGAAUGCUCCAGAAUGAUCAUUAGGACCCACACGGACCCAUCUGAAAAGCACGCAAUGACCUGUGGGGCAAUUCUGAACUUCCCCGGGACAGCCAUCGAAUUUUAGGCAUUGGCCUCACUGCAAGCCUGAGGCAUAGAUAUGUCAGACCUCUUUUACGCAAGCAUUUGUAAACAAAAGAAGGUGGAGGUGGGUCAUUAUAUGCAAAGUGACUGAGAGGGAUCCUGCAAUCAGAGAGGGCUGUGAGCUCAGCUGAGUCAGGCCUGGAGGCCAUGGUGAACUGGGAAGAUAAAACCUGUGAGUCUCAGGUGACUUCACUUCCAAAGAAUGUCUGUACGCCCUAUAGAAAUCCCUUCUGGAAGCCAGGGAUCCUGCUGGUCUGUAAUCCUAGGACUUGGGAGGGGAAUCUCAGCUACAUCCUCAUAUGAAACCCUGCCCACCCAAACCAAAUCCACAAAGUCCUUUCUGGAAAACAGAAGAACAAUGUGAGCGAUGAAAACAUUUGCUGGAGGCACUGAGUCACUCGGUGCUGGAAGCUUCCCUGUGGCUGUGCCUGCUUAAGUCUCACAAGGACCAGAGGAUGGGCCAGCCAGUGGAUCUGACUUGUUUGGGUGCUCUUGAAUCCACUGAGCAUCUCCUGAGGAGCAGGCACUGUUGUGGGGACACAAAUGAGCAAAGCAGAUGACGUUCCCUGUGCCUUUGGUAUUGCCCCACGGGAAUGCACUUGACGGAUGGAGUUAAUGCUCCUAGAUCCACCUGCUUCUGGGAUCAUGUGUUCCUGGAGGCAAACUGGCUUCAGAUAGGGUGGCCAUGACAGCUUCAGCUGAGAUGGAGUCUUUUUAAAGAGGGCUCAAAAGAAGAAAGGGGUGAGCGAGUUGGGUGGUUAGAAGGAGAGGGGAGAGCAGUCCAGCAGAAAGAAGAGCUAAAGCAAAGUUGAAGAGGAAGCUGCUGACUGCCAUGGGGUCAUCUGGGCAAGGGUCUCUCACACUAGGUGGGGAGGGAGUAGAGGGGGAACGGGAAGAGACCUCUGUGGGGUUUAUGCAUAAUUUCAAGCACAUAUGUAGAUAGAAUAGUAAAGGGAUACAUAUGUAAGAGCUCCUUUGAGCAGGCAUUCCACGAGACACUGAACCACCACCACCAGGCCUCCGUCUAAAACAAUGUCCACCUGACGUUUCUUUCAACCCCUCCCCCACCUACCUGACCAGUUUUUGGUCCCUGUGCUUUUGCCUUUGCCGCAGAGUGUCACACACCAGGACCCUUGCCACCUGUGGCCUUUUGCUCCCCACCCCCACCCCAUUCUGAGGCCCCUGCGGUUGGCUGGUCCACUGGGUCACUCGGCACCGGUCCCUUCACUGCUACAUAAGAACCGGGAAGUGAUGCUUAGUACUAAGUGAUGCUCAGUACUCCUCUGCCAACUGCACAGGGGUGGGCCAGAAGUAAACAGGGAUUAGGGACCCUGCACUGGUCCCAAGGACGGUGACAACAUGGCUGUUGUUCCUGGUCCUAAGCUCUGCCCCCAGAUCCCCAUGACUAGGAGGUGUCCAUGGAGCUACCUGAACAUUGUGGACACUUUGACCCUUUGUUCCACUGCAGCCAUCCAGAGAAGAAGUGAAGACAUUCUAAAGGCACUGUUGUGUCUCUCCAAAAGACAGACUGUUGAAACAAUAGACCCCGAGGAAGUAGGAAUUUCCCCAGGAAUUUCCUGCCGGGAGAAGGAAAAGGCUCGAGCCACAGGGAACUUGCCAGCUGUCAGAACACUGCAGAUGGAGACUGAAGCCCAGACAAUGACGGUCUACAGUAAGCAGGGAAGCAGGACCACACCUUGUCUGGCACUGCUUGGAUGCGCUCAUCCUUGGCCCUCAAUUUAAACUUUGAUCCCACUAAGAUCCUGAAGGCUUAAGGGUUUGCUGGAGCUCUUUAUCACGGGGCCACAUUGAAUAAAUCCUUUUUUUUUCCUCCUCUGAUUUGUACUUUUAAUCUGGCUCUUUUGGUUGUGUUAUUGAGGAUGAGUGGCCAGAUCUGACUUGGGACACGGGUUGUGACUUCUCCCCAGUCAAGUUUGAUAAUAGUACCAGAGGACACAACCCCAGGGAGGCAGACAGA